GCCGGCAUAGCUCAGUUGGUAGAGCAGUUGAUUUGUAAUCAUCAGGUCGGGAGUUCAAAUCUUCCUGCCGGCACCA
rnacentral:tRNA from 1 species